ensembl:lncRNA
CACUUCUUCCUGUGAAGAAGGGCAUGUUGGCUUCCCCUUCCACUGUGAUCAUAAGUUUCCUGAGGCCUCACCAGCCAUGGAGAACUAUGAGUCAAUUAAAUUGCUUUCCUUUAUAAAUUAUCCAGUCUUGGGCAGUUCUGUAUAGCACCAUAAUAUUGUUUGGCUGUGUUCCCACCCAAAUUUCAUCUUGAAUUGUUGUUCCCAUAAUCCCCCUGUGUCAUGGGAGAUACUCGGUGGUAGGUAAUUGAGUCAUGGGGGUGGUGACCCUUAUUCUGGUCUCUUGAUAGUGAGUUCUCAUGAGAUCUGAUGGUUUUAUACUUUACUCCUCCUUUGCUUGGCACUUCUCCUUCCUGCUGCUAUGUGAAGAAGGAUAUGUUUGCAUCCCCCUUCUGCUGUGAUUAUAAGUUUCCUGAGGCCUCCCCAACUGUGCUGAAUUGCUCAUAGGUGGAAGGGGCUUGCCUUAUCUCAGAACUCUGCCCUUGUGACCUUGGAAGGAAAUAAUACUAUUUUAUCCAGAAGUAUACUACUUUAACAUAUUUCAAGAUGGUUGUUCAGAGGGCAUGCAAACAGAAGUAACCCUGCUAAGCUAUCUUUUGAGGGGAAGAUUUGCAUCUGUAGAGAAUCUGCAUUGAUGCAGACAGGCUUUCUCUGAAAGCCUCCCUCAUCUGGAUCUAGGGAAGUUUAACUGAGAGUCUGUCAUCUUUAAAGGUCUGAGGAAACAUUUAUCAUCUAUUUUCUCUGAGAGCUGCUACCUGUGAGAUUUCAUUCGUGUACCAAAACAACUUUUGCCAGCCAGGCACACAAGACCACCUUUGCUAGUCAGGCCUCCUCUUCUCCUCUUUUUAUAAUCUGCUUUGCCACUAUAACCUGUUAUGCAUGAUCCAAAUCCACAUUCUUUCUGUAACCUCAAGAUGGUAUGUGAGCUUCUGAACCUCAAGUGAGGAGAGUGUGGAGUGAGGACAGUGAGGUAAUCAUUCUGUGAUUCUUUCUUAUGUGAAUGUUAAUAAAUUUGUAUGCUGUGUCAAUGUCUUUCCUUUUGUGAAUUGAGUUUUCAGCAAAUUUUUAGAGGGCUAAAGGAAAGCUUUCUCUUGGCCCCUACAGUUUUGGCACUGUUAACAGGAUCUCAUCAAAACUGCUCUUCUUUAUAGGGAGCCACAGUGAAAGAAACCCAGGACCCGACAAGACAACAGAAGGGUAAUAAUUUGUGCCUGCCAGGCUCCUGGUCUCUCUUCUGUGGAAUUUGGCUGAGCUGACAGUAAAAAUCAACUAUUUAUCUCUUUUUUUCUCUGCAAAAUUUUGUUUAAUAUGAGAAAAGAAGUUGCAUGAAUAGUCUUGGGUAUAGCAAUGCUGUUGUACUUUAUGGUAUAAAUAUUCAUAUUGUUUGAUUCCUAUCUUACCCAAAAUAGUCUGUGAUAGUUAAUAUUGAUUAUCAACCUGAUUGGAUUGAAGGAUGCAAAAGAUUGUCGUUGGAUGUGUCUGUGAGGGUAUUGCCAAAAGAGAUUAACAUUUGAGUCAGUGAGUUGGGAAAUGUUGAACCACCCUGAAUCUGGAUGGGCACUAUCUAAUUAGCUGCCCAUGCAGCUAGGAUAAAAGCAGGCAAAGAAAUAUGGGAAGACUAGACUGGCUUAGUCUUUUGGCCUACAUCUUUCUCCCAUGCUGGAUGCUUCCUGUCCACGAAAAUUGAACUCCAGGUUUUCAGCUUUUUGACUUUUGAACCAUCAACCAUAGACUGAAGGCUGCACUGUCAGCUUCCCUACCUUUGAGAUUUUGGGACUUGGACUGUUUUCCUUUCUCCUCAGCUUGCAGAGGGCCUAUUGUGGAAAUUCCCCUUGUGAUUGCAUGAGUCACUACUCCUAAGUAAAUUCCCCUUUAUAUACAUCUAUCCUAUUAGUUCUGUCCCUCUAGAGAGUCUUGACUAAUACACAGCUUUUCCUUUCUUUGUCUUUCUGUGUUCUUCUAUCAUAAAAAGGGAUAUUACAGGGCAGAACAUGGGCUGAAAAUCACUGUAAUCCCAUUUUUCGAACUGGCCCUGCAGACUGGUCAGUUUUGCCAUUCUGAUAGGAAUUGUGUGUAAAAUUUGCUGUGGACCCCCAAAAUGAAAACUGGAUGAGUUUCCCCUCUUGUCUUGUUUUAUGUCCUUGAAGGUUUGACUUGUGACAAAGUAGGAGCACUCUUUGGCUCUCAACCAUAUGUGGGGGAGGGGCAUGAUUUUUUGGUCACAUUUGGUGGCUAAUCUGAAAAGAUUAGGAA